AUUGAACGCUGGCGGCAUGCCUUACACAUGCAAGUCGAGCGGCAGCACGGGUGCUUGCACCUGGUGGCGAGUGGCGAACGGGUGAGUAAUAUAUCGGAACGUACCUUAUCGUGGGGGAUAACGCAGCGAAAGCUGCGCUAAUACCGCAUACGCCCUGAGGGGGAAAGCGGGGGACCGUAAGGCCUCGCGCGAUUAGAGCGGCCGAUAUCUGAUUAGCUUGUUGGUGGGGUAAAAGCCCACCAAGGCGACGAUCAGUAGCUGGUCUGAGAGGACGAUCAGCCACACUGGGACUGAGACACGGCCCAGACUCCUACGGGAGGCAGCAGUGGGGAAUUUUGGACAAUGGGGGCAACCCUGAUCCAGCAAUGCCGCGUGAGUGAAGAAGGCCUUCGGGUUGUAAAGCUCUUUUGUCAGGGAAGAAACAGCAGCUCUAACACAGUCUGCGAAUGACGGUACCUGAAGAAUAAGCACCGGCUAACUACGUG
rnacentral:rRNA from 1 species